AGCAGCCGCGGUAAUUCCAGCUCCAAUAGCGUAUAUUAAAGUUGUUGCAGUUAAAAAGAUCGUAGUUGAAUUUCGGGAUCAAUAUAUCGGUCGUGCCGUCGGUAUGCACUGGUAUUAUUGAUUUCUACCUUCUGACGAAUCAUGAUGUCAUUAAUUUGGUGUCAUGGGGAAUCAGGACUGUUACUUUGAAAAAAUUAGAGUGUUUAAAGCAGGCACACGCUUGAAUACAUUAGCAUGGAAUAAUGAAAUAGGACGUUUGACCCUAUUUUGUUGGUUUCUAGGAUCGACGUAAUGAUUAAUAGGGAUAGUUGGGGGCAUUAGUAUUCAAUUGUCAGAGGUGAAAUUCUUGGAUUUAUUGAAGACUAACUACUGCGAAAGCAUUUGCCAAGGAUGUUUUCAUUAAUCAAGAACGAAAGUUAGGGGAUCGAAGACGAUCAGAUACCGUCGUAGUCUUAACCAUAAACUAUGCCGACUAGGGAUCGGAUGAUGUUUAAUUUUUUAAUGUACUC
rnacentral:rRNA from 1 species